rnacentral:rRNA from 1 species
UGAAUGACUCUCGGCAACGGAUAUCUCGGCUCUUGCAUCGAUGAAGAACGUAGCGAAAUGCGAUACUUGGUGUGAAUUGCAGAAUCCCGUGAACCAUCGAGUCUUUGAACGCAAGUUGCGCCCGAGGCNACUAGGUUGAGGGCACGUCUGCCUGGGCGUCACAC